ensembl:lncRNA
GGCGGGUCACUCCAGGCUGCUGCAGUCGUCGUCACUGUCGCUGCUAGUUGUAUCAUCCAGGAUGACCGGUGAAGGACUCGGAGGAGGAAGACUGAACUGCUGGGGACCUGGAAUGUAGAAGAUCAUCGUUAAGCGUACAAUUUGGUGACAUGGGUAAAGCUCCAUCAAACUGUAAAAGGUUCAGCACAUCCCUCUUGCCCCUCAAACGCUUCAAGAGAAAGCUAUGAGGCAAAAGCCUGCUUCUUCCCUCCUCUGCCAAGCCAGUUGAAUUUCAGCGCGAAGUGGUUGGUGAGGAUGUGGCGAAGGAUUCUUCGAACCUCGUCACCAGGAUUGCAGCCCCCAAGCGCACUAAGGUGUGCUGCCUGCAGGGUGCUCCUGGUUUGGGCUUUUUUCAGGUUCAUACGCGCUGCAUCAUAAUUGGCUGUUGAAGACAACAAUGAAGUCUCAUCUGGCCUAGCGCUUUGGAUGACUGCAACUUUCGUCCGCUUGGUGUCUUUAUACGGUGGCCAAAAAGACACCUUGCCAUCCAAACUUAGCCACGAGCAAGGCACAACCUCCACCUCGUUUGACUCGGUUCCCAACCACAGCUGUCCCCAGUGCAGUUGAAUCAACAGGGUGGUUGAAAAAUGGACGUUGGUCUAAAUAUUGCCUCGCCACAAAAGACGUACCACCAAGUGUCCUGCUAAUUGCCUCUAUUUUAAAAGUGGCACCACCACACAAAACUGUGUUGUUCCCAUCCUUUGUGGACAGGGUAAAUCUAUCAGUGGC